rnacentral:misc_RNA from 1 species
GAAGGGUGUAUGAUCGGAACCCACAUGAUGACUGAGUCAACAGUUGCUAAUGGUGCACUAAAUGCUCGUACACUUUGCUUGGACCCUAUUACUCAAGGCCCUUCUCUAGGUCUUUGCCCUCCUUUUUGGAAAAACAAUCAAUACCAAGCUCAACAGCACCAACAAACUGGCUUCAUAGUUGGUCAUGAAGCUCAAAACUCAGGGAUACUAGAACUGUAUCAAAGACUCAGAGCAUCAACUAAUUACUAUACCGAUAACUCACCUGUAGUUCUAAGCAAUGUGGCUUCUUCCUCAGCUGCAUCUUCAACCAUUUUGGAGUCUUCUCCUGUUGCUGGAGGUGAAUU